AGCCUAGUGGCAUCCUUGUCGAUGUUUACCAUUUCUUUAGGUACAGUUUGGCAAUUUCUUCAAAAAGGGAAAUAUGAAACUUUUUCAUUUAUAUGUUUCUUAACUUUGCAGUUUGCACAGCUCUGUAUUUAUGCCUCCAUACACUGAAAUGUUUACUAGUACUCGUUAAACAACUGCAUCAAUCAUAUGUGCAUCUGUAAUCUAGUCUAAUGACUCAGUUUUCUGUUUCCAACUAUGGUCACAGUACACCUAGAUGUACAUACAUAUACAGUGCGUCCCAGAAUUUUUGCUGCCUCCGUAACUUUCUGAAACAGUUUUCAGAAGAAUUCGCAAGCACAUUUGUUGCUACAACAUUAGUUGGUGAAAUUGUUAGCAAAUCUGCAUGAGACCUGUACAAUCUAGUUUAUAGUGGUAGACUAAAUAGCAUCUGACGGUACCGUGUUUGUAUUUGAUUAUUGAAAAGCAAGAGCGGUUGGUAUAGCAGUUGAGAUUUUUUUCAUACAUGGAGCUGCCAAGUCUUUGUUAUGGUCGGUCUUCGGCUUGAUGAGAUUGUGAUAUUUUGCUUAGCAAUGCAGGCUCAGAGCUCAAUCAGAGUGGAUGUCGAAGCUGAGUGGUAAAGUGCCAACAAUGCAGAAGAGCCUUUGCUGCUAAGAAGGAAGCUGCACUUGAGGCUGCAGAGAAGAGAGCAGCAGAGGCAAAAGAAGGUUGAAGCUGCAUAGAAGGAAGCAGGACAAGAUGAGGCAUAGAAGGUAGCAGCUGAAGGGAAGAAAUGUUAGUAGAUUGUACAGAGUCAAACUUUUCGUGGAACUGGCAUGAGUCUUCCUGAAGAUAUGUUAUGCGGCAACCUGAUAUAUGAUUAGUCUGCAUCAGUUUGCUUCUCUAGCUUUCCUGAAGAUAUGUUCAGAGUCGACAGUUGUCCACUUGCACAAGCACACCCACCAACCUCCAAAGGCUGUUACUGAGCUCAAUUUUCAUUGCCAAUUUGCCAUG
rnacentral:lncRNA from 1 species